UGGGGAAUUUUGGACAAUGGGGGAAACCCUGAUCCAGCCAUCCCGCGUGUGCGAUGAAGGCCUUCGGGUUGUAAAGCACUUUUGGCAGGAAAGAAACGUCAUGGGUUAAUACCCCGUGAAACUGACGGUACCUGCAGAAUAAGCACCGGCUAACUACGUGCCAGCAGCCGCGGUAAUACGUAGGGUGCAAGCGUUAAUCGGAAUUACUGGGCGUAAAGCGUGCGCAGGCGGUUCGGAAAGAAAGAUGUGAAAUCCCAGAGCUCAACUUUCGAACUGCAUUUUUAACUACCGGGCUAGAGUGUGUCAGAGGGAGGUGGAAUUCCGCGUGUAGCAGUGAAAUGCGUAGAUAUGCGGAGGAACACCGAUGGCGAAGGCAGCCUCCUGGGAUAACACUGACGCUCAUGCACGAAAGCGUGGGGAGCGAACAGG
rnacentral:rRNA from 1 species